CCAGUAUUACUUUGCUGCUAUA
rnacentral:ncRNA from 2 species